rnacentral:rRNA from 1 species
CCUACGGGGGGCUGCAGUGAGGAAUAUUGCGCAAUGGACGAAAGUCUGACGCAGCAACGCCGCGUGCGGGAUGAAGGGGCUAUGCCUUGUAAACCGCUGUAGCCUGGGAAGAAAACGGCCCUCGGGGCCCGGGACUGUACCAGGAAAGUAAGCAUCGGCUAACUACGUGCCAGCAGCCGCGGUAAUACGUAGGAUGCAAGCGUUGUCCGGAUUUACUGGGUGUAAAGGGUGCGCAGGCGGAGAAGUAAGUCAGAGGUGAAAGCCUACAGCUCAAC